rnacentral:snRNA from 1 species
AGAUGUGAUGACUGUUGGGCUGCGACAUCUGUUAACCCACUGAUUGUUAGGAUUGAUUCAACUGAUCUGGUUGCUAGAUGGGUGUCAUUUUCCGCUCUUAUCACUGCUUCUCCUUAGAGGAGAACCCUUCUUAGGUUAAAGGUAUAGGAGCAGCUGUGCUUCCCUGCUACAACAUCCAAACAAGCUCUCAAGGUCCAUGUGCAGGAGAACAUACAGUAGUCAAGUUUCCAAGCAUCCAGACACAUCUAAAUGAUUAGAGCUGCAUGUGUGUUU